rnacentral:misc_RNA from 1 species
UUACUGGCUCUAGGACUUGUUAUAACUGGAAUAGCCAUCACAAUUACUGCACAAAUGAAGUUCUAUCUUAAAAGUCCAAUGCUGAUGUCACUUAAUGGGGAAAUAACGCCAACUUGGGACAUACCUUUUCCGGCCAUCUCAGUCUGUAGCCAGAAACAGAUAAGACCUUCUAUACCGUAAUCAACUUAACCCAACUUAUCAACAAGAAAAAUCCAACCAUGGAAGAACUGCCGUUCAUAAUCCAGCUGAGUUUCCAACCCCCUUACAAACAUUUGCCUACAUCGUAACUGACGCAACCAUUGAAUUCAAGAUAACUCCACAGCUAAUAAGCACUUCGGAUAAUCUUAGACUUUGGACGCCGGAGGAAAGAGGUUGUUACUAUAGUCAUGAGCGUAAACUGAAGUUCUACGUCACGUACACUAUCCAUAAUUGUGACAUUGAAUGU